rnacentral:rRNA from 1 species
UACGGGGGGUGCGAGCGUUGUCCGGAAUCACUGGGCGUAAAGGGCGCGUAGGUGGUCUUGUAAGGGUGUGGUGAAAGCCCGGGGCUCAACCCCGGGUCGGCCGUGCCGACUGCGAGACUAGAGUGCUGUAGGGGCAGGCGGAAUUCCGGGUGUAGCGGUGGAAUGCGUAGAGAUCCGGAGGAAGACCGGUGGCGAAGGCGGCCUGCUGGGCAGAUACUGACACUGAGGCGCGACAGCGUGGGGAGCAAACAGG